CUUAGUUCCCAUGACAUCUACAGCACAAGAUGGAUUAAAAUGCUGAUAAAUGCAUGAAAAUAUGAGAAACACGAUCAUAUGACUGGCACUUAAUUUUUCGAGAGUUUGUUUUGCCUUGUUUCAUUAGUGUUGAUUGAAACAACAUUGUUGCACCCAAUCUUCCAGUUUCAGAUGCAGUGACGGGCGUGUUUUAGAGGGUUACGGCGAAGAAUGGGGCACUUGGGGAGACUGGAGUAAAACAUGUGAAGGAAAAGGGAUCUGUGGUCUCCAGACACUGGUAGAAGCGCCACAAGGAACCGGAGACGACACCGCUCUCAAUAACGUGCGCAUGUACUGCUGCGCUUAAGGUGUUCGAGGACAACAAGAACAGAAAGAUCAGAUGGCUCAUAAUUAAUCAGCGUACUGUUAUGAGCUCACAUUAACCAUGUCAUAUAAAAGCCAGUCACAAAAUAAAGCCUGAGAUGUGAUCAGGACCUCAACACCGAGCAGAGGCCGACUGUACGUCUCACUGUGUCACGUCACCAUCCUGAACUCCCAUGAGUUAUGUCCCAACAUCUAUUAAAAUACUAAUUUGACUUGAAAUGA